AUCAGUCUGUAUCCCGUUCUCUCUUGGACUUCUUGCGUUUGUGUCGGUGGGAUGGUGAACGUGAGCGGGAGCGGUGUCUUCCUGAGUGCCUGUGACGGCUGGGUGAGCGGCUGCGGGACCGGUGACUUCGCCGAGAUCUGCAUGGUCAUGGCAAUCAGGAAGAAUGGCAGUCAUUCAAGAGUGCUGUGGUGUGCAGAUGAAGUGUGGUAUGCACAAAGGAGGUGGUGGAGGUGGAGCACUCAUGGACUCCUCUUCAAAAUACCCUGGGGCACUAGACACUGGAGUUACAGUUGGGGGAGGAACUGAUCCAGGCCCAUCCCAGCUGUUCUGACCCAUUGGAGGAGGUGCCUGGCCUGCACCC